rnacentral:rRNA from 1 species
UACGUAGGGUGCAAGCGUUAAUCGGAAUUACUGGGCGUAAAGCGUGCGCAGGCGGUUUUGUAAGUCUGACGUGAAAUCCCCGGGCUCAACCUGGGAAUUGCGUUGGAGACUGCAAGGCUGGAGUCUGGCAGAGGGGGGUAGAAUUCCACGUGUAGCAGUGAAAUGCGUAGAGAUGUGGAGGAACACCAAUGGCGAAGGCAGCCUUCUGGGCCAACACUGACGCUCAUGCACGAAAGCGUGGGGAGCAAACAGG